CCUACGGGAGGCAGCAGUGGGGGAUAUUGCACAAUGGGCGUAACCCUGAUCCAGCCACGUCGCGUGGGCGAAGAAGUACUUCCGUAUGUAAAGCCCCAUCAGCAGGGAAGCAGAUAUGAGGGUACCUGCGUCAGAAGCACCGGCUAAAUACGUGCCAGCAGCCGCGGUAAUACGUGGGGUGCAAGCGUUAUCCGGAUUUACUGGGUGUAAAGGGAGUGCAGGCGGGACGGCAAGCCUGUUGGGAAAGCCCGCGGGCCAACCGCGGGACUGCAUUGGGAACUGCCGGGCUGGAGUGCCGGAGAGGUAGGCGGAAUUCCUAGUGUAGCGGUGAAAUGCGUAGAUAGUAGGAUGAACACCAGUGGCGAAGGCGGCCUACUGGAGGGUGACUGACGCUGAGGCUCGAAAGCGUGGGGAGCAAACAGGAUUAGAUACCCGGGUAGUC
rnacentral:rRNA from 1 species